rnacentral:rRNA from 1 species
UACGUAGGGUGCAAGCGUUAAUCGGAAUUACUGGGCGUAAAGCGUGCGCAGGCGGUGAUGGAAGACCGUUGUGAAAUCCCCGGGCUCAACCUGGGAACUGCAUCUGUGACUGCAUCGCUGGAGUGCGGCAGAGGGGGAUGGAAUUCCGCGUGUAGCAGUGAAAUGCGUAGAUAUGCGGAGGAACACCGAUGGUGAAGGCAAUCCCCUGGGCCUGCACUGACGCUCAUGCACGAAAGCGUGGGGAGCAAACAGG